GGCCUGGUGCUUACCACAGGCUGUUCUUAUAGAAAGAAGAAGCAAAGUAAACCUACCCCAUAUACACUACACCUCAGCCCAGGCCCUCUGCCUGAUCUUAUUGUGAGUGGGGAGACAUAG
rnacentral:snoRNA from 1 species